GCAGUGGCUCAAUGGUAGAGCCUCUGCUCUGAAUACAGAAAGUUCUGGGUUCAAACCACAGCAUCUCCA